UUGAACGAUCGGCAAACUUAGCGAAAGUUAAGGACGCAAAGCUAUGGGACUAACGAUUUUUAUCUAUGUCUGCCAGGUUGCUAUA
rnacentral:ncRNA from 1 species